rnacentral:rRNA from 1 species
GUGGCAGCCGCCGCGGUAAAACCAGCACCUCAAGUGGUCAGGAGGAUUAUUGGGCCUAAAGCAUCCGUAGCCUGCUCUGUAAGUUUCCGGUUAAAUCCAUUAGCUUAACUGAUGGGCCGCCGGAAAAACUGCAAAGCUAGGGAGUGGGAGAGGUAGACGGUACUCGGUAGGAAGGGGUAAAAUCCUUUGAUCUAUUGAUGACCACCUGUGGCGAAGGCGGUCUACCAGAACACGUUCGACGGUGAGGGAUGAAAGCUGGGGGAGCAAACCGGAUUAGAUACCCGGGUAGUCCCAGCUGUAAACGAUGCAGACUCGGUGAUGCCCUGGCUUGUGGCCAGUGCAGUGCCGCAGGGAAGCCGUUAAGUUUGCCGCCUGGGAAGUACGUACGCAAGUAUGAAACUUAAAGGAAUUGGCGGGGGAGCACCACAAGGGGUGAAGCCUGCGGUUCAAUUGGAGUCAACGCCAGAAAUCUUACCCGAGGAGACAGCAGAAUGAAGGUCAAGCUGGAGACUUUACCAGACAAGCUGAGAAGUGGUGCAUGGCCGUCGCCAGCUCGUGCCGUGAGAUGUCCUGUUAAGUCAGGUAACGAGCGAGAUCCCUGCCUCUAGUUGCCACCAUUACUCUCAGGAGUAGUGGGGCGAAUUAGCGGGACCGCCACAGUUAAUGUGGAGGAAGGAAGGGGCCACGGCAGGUCAGUAUGCCCUGAAACCUUGGGGCCACACGCGGGCUGCAAUGAUAGUGACAAUGAGUUCCUAAACCGAAAGGUGGAGGCAAUCUUCAAACGCUAUCACAGUUAUGAUUGAGGGCUGCAACUCGCCCUCAUGAAUAUGGAAUCCCUAGUAACUGCGUGUCAUUACCGCGCGGUGAAUACGUCCCUGCUCCUUGCACACACUGCCCGUC